rnacentral:rRNA from 1 species
GACAGAGGGUGCAAACGUUGCUCGGAAUCACUGGGCGUAAAGGGCGUGUAGGCGGGAAUGUAAGUCGGGCGUGAAAUCCCUAGGCUCAACCUAGGAACUGCACUCGAAACUGCGUUUCUUGAGUAUCGGAGAGGAAAGCGGAAGUUCCUGGUGUAGAGGUGAAAUGCGCAGAUAUCAGGAGGAACACCGGUGGCGAAGGCGGUUCUCUGGG